GAGCCCGAUGAUGAUAAAGCAAGCGUGAUAAGUAGAUUGGCUGAUGACUAUGAAAGAGGUGAAGGUGAAUGCUUCAGCUCUAAGUUGGCAAUCAAUGACCGAACAAAAAAGAGUCCUCUUCUUUGGUGGGGUGCUUAUGGUGGCCUUGCUUAUGAGCUGCAACAUUUAGCAAAGCACAUAGUUAGCCUUUGUGCUUCAGCUUCCGGUUGCGAACGAAAUUGGUCUUGCUUUCAAAAUAUCCAUAGCAAAAAGAGAAAUAGGUUGGAGUUCCAAAGACUUAAUGAUUUGUCAUAUGUUCAAUACAACCGGAAGAAUGCCGAUAGGUUCCAAAAGAUUCGUGAGGAAGGCUCCAAAGGGACUAGGUCUGACCCAUUAGUCCUAGAAGACUUACAAUGGGACAAUGAAUGGGUUGACCAU